AGUGAACGCUGGCGGUAGGCCUAACACAUGCAAGUCGAACGGCAGCACAGUAAGAGCUUGCUCUUACGGGUGGCGAGUGGCGGACGGGUGAGGAAUACAUCGGAAUCUACUUUUUCGUGGGGGAUAACGUAGGGAAACUUACGCUAAUACCGCAUACGACCUACGGGUGAAAGCAGGGGAUCUUCGGACCUUGCGCGAUUGAAUGAGCCGAUGUCGGAUUAGCUAGUUGGCGGGGUAAAGGGCUAGCAAGGCGACGAUCCGUAGCUGGCCUGAGAGGAGGAUCGGACACACUGGGACUGAGACACGGCCCAGACUCGUACGGGAGGGAGGAGUGGGGAAUAUUGGAAAAUGGGCGAAAGACUGAUCCAGCCAUGCCGCGUGAGUGAUGAAGGUAUUAGGGUUGUACAGCUCUUUUACCCGGGAUGAUAAUGACAGUACCGGGAGAAUAAGCGCCGGCUAACUCCGUG
rnacentral:rRNA from 1 species